rnacentral:rRNA from 1 species
AUGAGGGGUGCGGCAGGGAGGCGCGGCGGCGAGCGGCAGAGCUUUUGGUGGGCGAUCCUGGCGGUGGUGAUGCUGCUCCUCGCCGUCGCCGCCGUCUAUGGCGCCAUGAUGUACAAGCCGCAGCUGCGGCUGCAGGUGUGCGAGGCCAAGCUGCUGGGUGGGCCGGUGGUGUACGACCCCCUCACCCUCAACAACACCCUCCAAGGCCUGAGCAUCAACGUCACCCUCUGCUGGAAAUGA